AAUACUUAUCGCUUUGAGUUUUUGUUUGUAAUGUUUGAUCAUUCGUCUUGUUCAAAAAAAUUAUGAAACUAUUAUUUAUUUUGUUUGUAACUCGCUUUAUUAAAAAAUAUUUUAAGUAUGACUUAUCUUUUUUGUAUUUGCACUAAUUUUUCAAAUAAGACAAAUGGUCAAACAUUGCAAGUAAAAAGUCAAAGCGACCACUAAU
rnacentral:pre_miRNA from 1 species